AUGGGUCUGUACCUACGGCGGCUGCUGCUGGAGGACAACGCCAUCGACGAAACCGAGGGCGGGGCCAAGCGCACGAGUGCAGCAGCUAGGUGGAGUACCCUCUACCGGAGACAACGGAGCAGGUGGCCGACGUCGUGGUUUGUGAGGAUACAAUAUUUGCAGUCGAGUGAACCGGCCAGGCCCGCGAGGGAGAGUGCCCCGUGCACGAUGACGGGCCACUUGUAUCAGCGAGGCAGUGCUGCCUCCGAGGAGGUGGUUGGUGCCUUGGCGGCCGCCGGCGGCGGAGGCCUGGAGGAUGGAGGGACCGAGGCCUGA
rnacentral:rRNA from 1 species